ensembl:lncRNA
CUCUGGAUUUACAUUUGUACAUCAGACUUGCUUUUCAUAAAAAUGGCAAUUUCAAACCACUAGCUUAUGUGAGAAAGUUCUGGCAGCAGAAUUAAUAACAGAUGAGGUUUCAACUUGAUGUGGAACACUAUCAGAAGAAACAGAAGAAUGUAGCAAGAGGAAUGAAUCUUAACCAUACCAUCGAAUCUGACUAGCACUAUGGAGGAAAUGAUUGUGGUUUGGGACUGAGUUCUUUCCUUUUUAUAACCUGUUAUUGACUUUUUCUCUAAAGUGUAUCCAGAAGAAGUAAAAUAGAAUUCUGAACUCACUAAGUAGA